ensembl:lincRNA
GCCGGCCUCCGCGCGGGGACUGUUUCUGCGUCCCCUCGUGGGCCGGGAGGACGUGGCGCAGCCCGGUGUGUGGACCGCAGGAGCGUCCGGCCUGCCUCUGUGGGUGUCACCGGGUGCCGGUCGGCACGCGUGGGCGUGUCCUAUCGCUCCACGCGUGUUCCCUCCCUCACCGUCGCCUUUCCUCCGGGACCACGGUUUCAGAAAUGGAGCCAUGGAGUGCAUGGUUCAAAAUGUAGCUACUGUGCUGGCUAUUGGAAGGAGGAGAUUCAGAAGAUAGUGAGGGAACAGAGUUUGUCAUGCUUCUACAGUAGAUCUUUGAUAUUGUCAGUAAGGAAACAUCCACACCUUCUUUGGUUAAAAGUCUCAGAGACUUUGAGGGUCACUGCCUGCCAAGAGGAAAGUAUGAUGAAGCACAGGCUGUUUCACUGAACCACUCCACGGAUGGUCCAUGACUGCGGAGCAGAGUGAACCUCAGUAUAGACAGCACUGGUCUCCUACAAGGCCACGGUCACCAGCAGAUGAGGUGUUAAUGGAUUAUUCCUGGUAAUGGGUUUCCCUUUGCCUCUUUAUUACAUUCCAAGCUGUUACCUAGACUACAUUUCACUAUAUCUAAUUAAUGUACUAAUCAACUGUUUUGAAUGGAAAGGGAGAAAAUAUGUUGAUCCUCCUGCUGGCAGGGUAAGAAAUAUGCCUACUGUGGAGUAUCUUUUUCCAUCAUGGAGAAAAUGUAAUCUCUAUUGUUCUCAAAAGUGAAUAAAAUUUUUGUAUUUGAAUUCCUGCUUGUAUGGCUUGGGGUAAUCCUAGUUUCCAAGUGACUAUUUGUUUCAGAAAGAUUUGCUCCAGAAGCCACUCAUAAGGCUGCUGUCAAAUUCUUUAAUAGAGAAUUAGAAGCCAAAUUCACUGACUAGAAACACUGAUAAUCAGUUGGCAGUAGACUGAUGUCCAGCGCCCUGAAUUUGUAACUGCUGCAGAACUGAGAGACCCAGCUGUGGAGGGGUGACUGCCCACUCCACAUCUUCCAGGUGGAGAGUAGCCACCAUGCCCUAGUCCCACUCUGUCCUCCAGCUGUCUUGUGUAUCUCCCAGCAUCCAUAUUUGUGAUCCCUCCACACAUCGAUGCCCUCUGAUGACAUACUGGUCAUGAGAGCCAUGAGCACGUCAGCAGCUGUGCUGUAUCUUUAAAUCUUUUGUUCCAGUGACAACCAUUUGAAAUGGAAAGAAUCAUCCCAUUUUACACAUUUCAAAAUACGACUUUGGAUAGAUUAUGUAGCUUGUCUGUGGACACAGAGCUACUGAUUGGUGAAACAAGGAUUUCUGUCCCCUUCCUCCCCAAACUUCCAGCCAUCAACUGUCAUCUCUGUUGAGAUUCUGGCUUCCCUGAAGCAACUGAUACAGGCUGUAAGACAUGGGCCACAGACAACUUUUAAAUAUGAAAUGAUAAUUCUUUGCCUACUGAGAUUCUUUUUUUAAUCCAGAGGAAGAGAACACUUAUAUGUUUAUUUGACAUUCAUGUGCAAUGUUUACAUUUACAAAGUGUUUUACGGUAUAAUAGAAUGGGCACAAAUUUUUAUUAUCUGGGCA